CAAUAAUUAGGCUAAUUCGCAACUUUCUAUUUUUAAAUCUUGAUGUUGGCACUAUGCAAUAGAAAUGUGGACAAUCAGGGUGUAUUUGUGCGCUUAGCAUCCUGCAGAUAACUAUGAACUAUGUUUGCUAAAAGAGUUGCUGAUUUUUUUUCACCACAUAAAUCUCGACAACUCUGCGUUUUCAUGUACUAGAACUAAUCAUGUUUCUUACUUUGUAUGCACAUCCAUAUUAAUCAUGUCUAUAA
rnacentral:lncRNA from 1 species